rnacentral:rRNA from 1 species
AGCUCCAACAGCGUAUAUUAAAGUUGUUGCGGUUAAAAAGCUCGUAGUUGGACUUCUGCUGAGGACGACAGGUCCGCCCUCCGGGUGAGAUUCUGGCUUUGCCUUGGCAUCUUCUUGGAAAACACUACUGCACUUGGCUGUGUGGUGUGGCAUCCAAUGCGUUUACUUUGAGGAAAUCAGAGUGCUUCCAGCAGGCAUAUGUCUUGAACACAUUAGCAUGGAAUAAUAAGAUAAGACUUUGGUUUUAUUUAGUUGGUUUUUAGAACCGAGGUAAUGAUUGAUAGGGAUAGUUGGGGGCAUUUGUAUUUAACUGUCAGAGGUGAAAUUCUUGGAUUUGUUAAAGACAAACUAUUGCGAAAGCAUUUGCCAAGGAUGUUUUCUUUGAUCAAGAACGAAAGUA